rnacentral:lncRNA from 1 species
UUUGCCAGAAAAGAUAAUCCUUAUUAGUGUUUAUGCUGGAAAGAAGGAAUAUAUUACAGAUGAGACGGAGUUGCUGCUAGAGCCCAUGCAUGAAGUGCCAUUGAACAUUCAAAGAUCGUAUGAGUUACAGAGUCAUCUGGUUCCCCACAUUAGGGACAAAUAUUAUCACAUUGUAUAUGUCGACGUGUUAAAUUGCUCGUGAUAGUAACAUGACCCUUGAUUAAUUAUCAUCUUAAGAACAUGUAUGGAUGGAGUUCCACAGUCAAA